CCUACGGGAGGCUGCAGUGAGGAAUAUUGGUCAAUGGGCGAGAGCCUGAACCAGCCAAGUCGCGUGAGGGAGUACUGCCCUAUGGGUUGUAAACCUCUUUUGUCGGGGAGCAAAAGCCGGACGUGUCCGGCUGUGAGAGUACCCGAAGAAAAAGCAUCGGCUAACUCCGUGCCAGCAGCCGCGGUAAUACGGAGGAUGCGAGCGUUAGCCGGAUUUAUUGGGUUUAAAGGGUGCGCAGGCGGAUUUUUAAGUCAGCGGUAAAAUCGUGGGGCUCAACCCCAUCCAGCCGUUGAAACUGGGGAUCUAGAGUGUGCGAGAGGUAUGCGGAAUGCGUGGUGUAGCGGUGAAAUGCAUAGAUAGCACGCAGAACCCCGAUUGCGAAGGCAGCAUACCGGUGCACAACUGACGCUCAGGCACGAAAGCGUGGGUAUCGAACAGGAUUAGAUACCCUUGUAGUC
rnacentral:rRNA from 1 species